AGGACUUCAGCUAAACAGGUGACGAACUCCUCAAACCUGACCCUGCUGCAUGGAGGACACAGCAACCUUGAGAGAGCAUGUAUGAACUGGCCUUCAGCUAGGCUCCUGCUGCACUGUGUCAGGUUCUGGGCUGUGUACGGAACAACCAUGUAUGAGACAGCAUUGAUGCUUUCAAAGAGCUCACAACCCCGAGGAACAAGCCCUGUCCAGUGUGUUCACUAAGCGAAAUGCCAGGCCCUCCCCUCAUCUAAGAAGAUGACAGGUACCGAGAAUGCUAAAGAUGCAUAGGCAGACAUGCAGCAAAGUACCCAUACAGAUAUUUGUUUAUAUUUUAAGAAGAAGAAGAGGAGGAGGAGGAGAAGAGGAGAAGGAAGAAGAAGAAGAAGAAGAAGAAGAA